UACAGAGGGUGCAAGCGUUAAUCGGAAUUACUGGGCGUAAAGCGCGCGUAGGUGGUUUGUUAAGUUGAAUGUGAAAUCCCCGGGCUCAACCUGGGAACUGCAUCCAAAACUGGCAAGCUAGAGUAGGGCAGAGGGUGGUGGAAUUUCCUGUGUAGCGGUGAAAUGCGUAGAUAUAGGAAGGAACACCAGUGGCGAAAGCGAACCUCUGGGCAGCAGCUGACGCUGUGGCACGAAGGCUAGGGGAGCAAACGGG
rnacentral:rRNA from 1 species